UACGAAGGGGGCUAGCGUUGCUCGGAAUCACUGGGCGUAAAGCGCACGUAGGCGGAUUGCUAAGUCAGGGGUGAAAUCCCGGAGCUCAACUCCAGAACUGCCCUUGAUACUGGCGAUCUUGAGUCCGGGAGAGGUGAGUGGAACUGCGAGUGUAGAGGUGAAAUUCGUAGAUAUUCGCAAGAACACCAGUGGCGAAGGCGGCUCACUGGCCCGGUACUGACGCUGAGGUGCGAAAGCGUGGGGAGCAAACAGG
rnacentral:rRNA from 1 species